rnacentral:tRNA from 1 species
AAAAUCCGUCGACUUAAAAAAUCGUGAGGGUUCAAGUCCCUCU